AUUGAACGCUGGCGGCAGGCCUAACACAUGCAAGUCGAACGAGUGGCGGACGGGUGAGUAAUGUCUGGGAAACUGCCUGAUGGAGGGGGAUAACUACUGGAAACGGUAGCUAAUACCGCAUACCAUCGGAUGUGCCCAGAUGGGAUUAGCUAGUAGGUGGGGUAAAGGCUCACCUAGGCGACGAUCCCUAGCUGGUCUGAGAGGAUGAUCAGCCACACUGGAACUGAGACACGGGCCAGACUCCUACGGGAGGCAGCAGUGGGGAAGAUUGCACAAUGGGCGAAAGCCGUAUGCAGCCAUGCCGCGGGUAUGAAGAAGGCCUUCGGGUUGUAAAGUACUUGCAGCGUGGAGGAGUUACCCGCAGAAGAAGCACCGGCUAACUCCGUGCCAGCAGCCGCGAUAAUAC
rnacentral:rRNA from 1 species